UGGGAUAACUCCGGGAAACGGGGUAAUACCGAAUAAUCUCUUUUGCUUCAUGGGAAAGACUGAAAGACGGUUUCGGCUGCGCUAUAGGAUGGGCCCGCGGCGCAUUAGCUAGUUGGUGAGGUAACGGCUCACCAAGGCGACGAUGCGUAGCCGACCUGAGAGGGUGAUCGGCCACACUGGGACUGAGACACGGCCCAGACUCCUACGGGAGGCAGCAGUAGGGAAUCUUCCACAAUGGGCGAAAGCCUGAUGGAGCAACGCCGCGUGAGUGAAGAAGGUUUUCGGAUCGUAAAACUCUGUUGUAGGGAAGAACAAGUACAGUAGUAACUGGCUGUACCUUGACGGUACCUUAUUAGAAAGCCACGGCUAACUACGUGCCAGCAGCCGCGGUAAUACGUAGGUGGCAAGCGUUGUCCGGAAUUAUUGGGCGUAAAGCGCGCGCAGGCGGUCCUUUAAGUCUGAUGUGAAAGCCCACGGCUCACCGUGGAGGGUCAUUGGAAACUGGGGGACUUGAGUGCAGAAGAGGAAAGUGGAAUUCCAAGUGUAGCGGUGAAAUGCGUAGAGAUUUGGAGGAACACCAGGGCGAAGGCGACUUUCUGGUCUGUAACUGACGCUGAGGCGCGAAAGCGUGGG
rnacentral:rRNA from 1 species